ensembl:miRNA MIR7108 microRNA 7108
GUGUGGCCGGCAGGCGGGUGGGCGGGGGCGGCCGGUGGGAACCCCGCCCCGCCCCGCGCCCGCACUCACCCGCCCGUCUCCCCACAG